rnacentral:rRNA from 1 species
UACGGAGGGGGCUAGCGUUGUUCGGAAUUACUGGGCGUAAAGCGCGUGUAGGCGGCUCGGCAAGUCGGAUGUGAAAGCCCUGGGCUCAACCUAGGAAGUGCAUUCGAAACUGCAGAGCUUGAGUUCUGGAGAGGAAGGCGGAAUUCUCGGUGUAGAGGUGAAAUUCGUAGAUAUCGAGAGGAACACCUGUGGCGAAGGCGGCCUUCUGGACAGUGACUGACGCUGAGACGCGAAAGCGUGGGGAGC